CCCUGUUUUGAAAUAAUUAUAAAUUUCCAUAAAGUGUAAUCAUAACAAUUGGCGACGAGUGGGAUUUCUGCGGAUAUUACGGCUUGUGCUAUUUUUUUUUCUAAGCCGUACUCGUUUAUUUGGAGAGUGAGUUCCGUCAUUUCCUCACUUUGCUCCGAGUGUUUGGCAGCACGGUCGGUGCUCGAAAAUUGAGUGACCUUCUCAUCACUGAGCUGAAUUUUUUUUCCGUUGACGUUUGGAGAGUGACUGACAGCUGGUGUUCAAGAGUGUUGGUGAGUUGCAUCGGUCGGAAUUUAGCUGUUGCAUUCGGAAGCCAAACUUUACGUAGAAUUUCGUCGAAAGAAAUAAGCUGAAUCCGCUAUUUGGUUGGGUUCAAUUGCUGUUGCUGUUGCUGAAGUGGUUAGUUGUUGUUGCUGUUGUUGGACCUUUGCGCUGCUGGGAGAGGAUUGCUGAAGUUGUAAGUGUGCUGUUUAGCAUUGAUCAGUUCGGUUGGUUAUCCAUUUCGAGUGGCUGCAGUAUAAUUGCAGAGGAGUGUUUUGUUUUCGGGAACAACAUUUGAUUCAGGUUUCCCUGGGAGGACGAGUCAUUUUGGCGCACAAACGCCAGUUGAAGGUCUGUGACGAUUCACAUCGGAAAGCUAGGCGUUCUACAGCUUUCAACGAGGGACGGUUCUUGGAAUUGAAUCGAUCUGACAAUUUUGCCUCGUUAGGAAACGAUGUUGAACCAGUUCUACCGCACGCUGAAUUACCCGUGGAGCCUGGCCGCAGUGCUAGUUUCAAAAGGAGAAGACAUAAAGAUGAAGAAGCAGAUAGUGAUUCCGAUAGUGAUUUUUAUGGGUUUGCUGCCGACUCUUUCAUCUUUUCGGAGAAUGAAAAUAUUAGGAAUGAAGAUAGAGAUUAUGAUUCAGGAAAGAUCAGAAGAUCAAAAAGAUCCACGAAAAGAAAAAGGAUAGACGAUUUUGUUUAUUAUUAGUACACAUCGAUAAAUUUAGUGAUAGGUGAAGUUUCAUUAUUUUGAUUUGGUAUUUUCAAUACUCUCGAUUAGAAACAUGAAUUUAAAAUCAUAGGAUUAGCUUUGAAAUGAAUGUAUAAUUUAAAUUGAUUGAAAUUUGAAAACUAUCUACUAACUUCUAAUGGAUGAAGGAGUUGUAGUGUUCGGCCAAAUAGGAUUUCGAGUUCCUGUUAAAACCCCUUCUGGGAACACUGUGUCGCGACAAGCAAAAGAAGAUUAUAGCAUAGGACUAAAUUGUACAUAUGAAUAAACGAAGCCCUCACUUUUGAAGGUGACUUCAAACUGAA